rnacentral:lncRNA from 1 species
AAUAUAGCCGGGGAUGGCAGCUUCAACGACAAUGGGAAUGGCUUCGAGUCCCCAGCCAUCUAUACUCAGGGCCCUGGACAAUCUGGGAGAGACUGAGGAACCUCUGGGUGCCUCAGGCGUGAGUAUUUCCACUCUCAAGCAGCCCUUCUCCCCUUCCCACCCCACACAGGGCUCCUGGGGUGCCCCCUCCAUGUAUCACUCAGGACCUCAGGACAAGGGGGCACCAGGAGCCCCCAGGCAGCCCCACUAUAACAGCACUUUCAUUGCAGAACCAUGAGAGCUUCGACUGGAACAGGGUCGGCCACAACAGCUUCAAUGACAACGGG